AAAUUACAACCUGGCCCUGAUUUUCUUUCAUCUUCAAUCAAAUCAUCGCAGAGUCCAGACACGGCACUCAACGACGACUACAAAGAUGAUGAUGAUGAUCAAAUCAUGUAAAGAUCCAACGCUCACAAAUGAGACACGACCAAACCCAUCCGAUAAAAGAAACUUAACAAAACCAAAUACACCAGAUUAAAAAGAAAAGAAAAGAGUGGCCGCCGUCGCUGCCGCGUCCGCCGUGGGUGGUGGUGGUGCUUGACUUAGUAGUCGGUGGUUGGGAGUUGCUCGUGGGAGUUGGAGAUGAAGAUGAAUUCGUAGAUGAGACCAGCAAGGCCACCACCGAUCAAAGGCCCGGCCCAGUAGAUCCAGUGGCUUUCCCAUGACCAGCUCACGACUGAUGGGCCGAAUGCGACGGCGGGGUUCAUGGAGGCUCCGGUGAAUGCUCCACCGGCCAAAAUGUUGGCUCCGACGAUGAAACCGAUUGCGAUGGGUGCAAUUGUUCCCAAACUGCCCUUCUUGGGAUCCACUGCGGUCGCGUACACCGUGUACACCAAUCCGAAUGUCAUGACGAUCUCGAAAACGAAGGCGUUCAGUUCACCAACUCCUGCUGAUAGAGCGAAGCUUCCGGUGGGCUGUCAUGCACACGAAUGUAAACCCCAAUUAAAUUAAUAAAUGAAUAAAAGUGAUUUUCUUCCCAAGUAACUGAAAUAACGACAUCUUACCCUAACAUUUAGACUCUAAUAAUCCCAUAAAAUUCCAAAAGAAAAAAAUAGCCAUUUAAUAAGAUUGCUACAAUGUGGCUCCUUCCUAAUAAUUUUUCAGUCUAUGCUUAAAAUUAUAAAUGUAUCUUAAUAAUUAUUAAAUAUAAAUUUGAGAUACUUCAAACUUUCGGUAGGAUGAUUACUUACAUUUUUCAAAAUUUUUUAAUUUAAUGCCCAGAUAUCUUACAUUGUGUCAGUAUCAUUCAAUAAUAUUUAAUUUAAAAUUUGUAAGUGAGUUUAAUAAAAAAAAAUUAACAACUUAUUCAUUUUUCUUGGGUUUGCUUAAUUUUUUUUAAUGUUAUGUUAAGAUUGACUUCUUUUUUCUCAUUUUGACUGUGUUAAGACAUUAAUAAAUUUAGGUAAAACUCACCAAGCCAGUGACGAAUUUAAGGAGCAAGCAAGCGACAACGGAUCCGAGGAGUUGAGCAAUCCAGUAGAUGAUACCACGUAGAAGGGUGAUGUUACCGCCAACGAAGGCACCAAAGGUAACAGCGGGGUUAACAUGGCCACCGGAGAUGUUAGCGCCAACGGAGACGGCAACGAAAAGAGCAAAGGCAUGGGCGAUGGAGGCGGAGAUGAGACCAGCUGGAGUGGCAGCGCCGUCAUUGGUGAGCUUAUUAAAGGCUAUGCCGGAACCUUGGCCAGCAAAAACAAAAAUCAAGGUGGAGAUAAACUCAGCCAAUCCAGCCUUCAAAGCAUCUGGAUGAGUAGCCUCUUCGGGCCUUCCAAUUGCAAUGUUACGGAUCGGCAUGGCUAGUAAUAAUUAGAGAACUUUAAAAUGAAAAUUCUUUAGAAUUAAUUGUAGUUUGUAGUACUCCAUUUCCACGUCCAUUUUCUAGGCCUUAUAAUGGAACGUUGGAGGGUAGGGUUAACUGGCUACAACAGGUUGCCGGUAAUAAUAGAGGGCAAUUAAAAAAAAAGGAAAUGAAAAAUGAAUUAAUAGUUGAACGUGAUUGGUGGACAUGGCCAGGCUGUGAAAUAUAAGGGGAAAUAUUAAUUGGUUGCCGCUGUUAUCCGAUGACCGUCCAGAUCCAGCGAAGCAAUUCGGCGCUAGGGUGUUGAGAUGUUGACACGUGUCUAUGGCUGAUAGGGACACGUAACGUGCAAAUUAUGUGGAUUUCGUCUCCUUUCGCUUGUUCUCUGGAGACAUCGAAUCCACUUCCCACGUUCAAUUAUUUCUCCACUUUUCUUCAUUUUCAAUUUUCUUUCUUUUUGGAUUUCCCCCUUUAAUCUCAUUUAAUUUCAUCCUUAUUAAUCCUUUUUUAUUAAUUAAUGAUCCUCAAAAUCUCAAUUUUUAAAUUUUAAGAUAUCUUUUUUUCUUCUUUUGGAAGGUUUUCCAUUUAUUUAUUAUAUAUCAUAUCAACCACGUUUCGAAAAUUAAGAAAAAUAUUUUAAAUAACUAAAUUGUUAAAAUAUUUAAAUUAUAACAAAAGUAUACUUUAUUUAUCAUCGUCUAUCACGUAUAAAUCGUAUAUUAAUAAAUAAUUUAGUUUAUUUUGUAAUAUUGAAAAACAAUUCAAAUUUUUACUUAGUUAUUUACUGUGUUUUCAAUUAUAAACUAUGUGUGAUUUGAUAUUUACAAAUGUUAAUAAAAUAAAUUUUGACACUCCCUGUCAUCAAUAACUAUAUAUUUAUAAUUAAGAGAUAUAAAAUACAUUUAUUUGAAUUUUUUAUUAUAAACCAUCACAUAUAUUUUAAACAUAUAUAGACUUCAAGAGUAAACAUUUUUUUUUUAAUGUUAUUUGAUAUAAUCGGAGUAUAAUUUUACUUAUUUUUAUGUAUAAGUUUUUCAAAGUAAUUUAAUUUGAUUAAGUAUGAAUUAAAAUAAUACUAAUAAGAGUUUUAAUAAAAUGUUAAACCACCACUAUCAUUGUGGUUGUGACAAAAUCAUUUUCCAAUGAAGCACAAAGUCUAAUAUUAAUGAAUUUGUUUAAAUAAUUUAAGUUGUUUCUUCUUCUUCUUUUUUUUUUUUUUUUUGGUGGAUUAUGCUGGUGAUCUGUAGAUGGUUAUCUAAAUUAUCUUAAUGGAAUCUUUGGAUAAUUAAAGACCAAUGUGAUGAGAUUUAAUAAUACCACACAUAUGUAUGUAUGUGAUCUGAUCUAAUGAUAUAUUUUUUUUAAUUUAUUAUGAAAAUUUUCCACAUAUAUAUCAAAAUCAAAUAAACAAAUAAAAGAAACAAACUAGUUUUAAAAAUUGUCUCAUUCGGAUAAUCCAUAAAUUAAAAUUCUUUCUAUCUUCCUCUUAAUUUGCAUUUAUGUUAUUUUUAUUUUUUUAUUUUUUUAAUAUAUCCAUCUGCAUUAUCCAAAUGGGAACUCUUCUUCUUUUUCUUUUAUUUAUGGAGAAAAUUUUCGUAAUAAAUCUCAGAAAAAUAUUGCAAUAUAUCAUUAGAUCAGAAUGCAUCAACUUGCCCGUGACAAUUCAAUUUUUAGGAUAAGAAUCUCUCUCUAUGUGUAUUUCUGUAUAUUAUUUGUAUUUAUAAAUAUAUAUAAUGUUUUGGUUGAUAAACAUGAGGUUUGGUUUGGUUUUAUCUUGAAUUAGGUAAAGUAUUUAAGAAUGUUAAAGAUUUUUUUAGCAAAUUCAGAGAGUUGUUUGAGGUAACAACAAAUUCAAACAUUUUUUUAAAAAUAUUUUAAUACUCUUUAAAUUUUAAUAUAUUAAAAAAAUACAAGACAAACAAACAAAUAUUUUUAAUUACUUUAUCACGAUUGACAAAUAUAUUCGUUUCACUUUAGACGUUCAUAAUUUAUAUUAAUUCACAAAAUAACUUUAGAUCUAAAUGUUUUGAAAUUUUAUCUUAUAUCAUCUACAUUUAUAACUUUUUAUGAACUAUCUUUCUAAAAAGUUAAUGUUUUUAUAAACAAGGAAAAUACAAAAUAUGUAGAUAAGAAAUUGAAAAAAAUUUCGUUUAGAAGUUCCAAAAUGAACAUCGUAGACAAAGUUUUGUUUUAGGAGUUUUUAUUACUUGGUGUGCCUAUGUUUUCGCCGUUGACAAUCUUGUCCUCGUUAGUUUUUGUCAAUGCUAAUUGAAAAUUAGUUGUGCGUAUUUGUUUACGCUCUUUUUAACUUAGUUUCUUGUUAACUUGAUCCAUUGAAUUGUUGUAAAAUUUUUACAAUGAUUUAUGGCCUCUAAUUUGAAAACAAAAUAAAUUUAUUUUUGGGAUAACAAUAAGACAAACUAAGCAUCCAAAUAUUAAUAUUAACCCUUUAAUAUAUAGUAGAAUAUUCUAUUGGAUGUUCGUUCCAUUUUUUUCUCUCUUUCUGACUUAUUAACAAAUCAUUGUAAACGAUGAUCCCACCAAUCAACAUGGGAUAAAUAUCAACUUCAUUAAACUUCCUUUAUAAUCUAUACAUUGUUUUCUAUUUUUAAAUAAAUAAUAAUAACAACAAUAAUAAUUCAUAUUCUCCCUUUUUCUCAUAUCCUAAUUUUAAUUCAAAUGUCAUAUUGGUGUGACAAGUCUCUUUUACAUAAUAUUUGUUCUCUUUAAAAAAAAUCUUGAACCUUCCAUUUAAAAUUUUGUAACUAUUUAUGACUUUUGCUAUUUCACACCAUCCAGUGUUUGGUUCGUAAUUGAUUGAGUCUGCAUAAUACAAUACAAGGUCUAGAAGCUGUCCCAUGGUUUGUUUGUAAAUUUGUCUACUCUUUUUUAUAUAAUCAUGAACAAAAGAAAAUAAAAUGUUCGUUGCUUUUACAUUUAUGCAUCCAUAACAAUUUUAAUUCAUCAUAGGUUAAAAUUGUUUACGGUUGUCAAACACAAGUAAUCUUUUGUUUUUAAAAUUACUUAUUUUUUAAAUUUAGCCGUUAAAAGAUGUAUAACAAACUUACCAAUAUUAUUUUAAAAUAUAAUUGUUUGUAAUUAUUUAUUUUAGUCUCUAACAAAUAAUUAAAUAUUAAAGUGGAAAAAAACACAAAUUUUCUUCAAUAAAAUGGAUAGAGAAUUUGGAACUCGGAAUUGAAUUAUAAAAUUUAAGUUAUGAAGCAUGUGUUAAAGUGUAAAAUUGGAAGGUAAAUUAUUUUGAUAAAAUGGUAAAAGAGAAAAGGAUAAAAAAAAAAAAAGGUAAAAUUUCUUAGGUGGGGUUGUAGUGUGGUUUAAUUUGAGCCACAGAAUGAAAGUACACAAUUUUGUGUUAUUUAAAUGAGAGGGAGAGAGUUAGUGAAGGUCUCAAAAGCAGAAGGAGAUAAGAUAUCCCACAAAUGGGUGCGGCAUCUAAUGAUUUAAGCUUGAAAAUGACCAAUUUUCUUUUCUUUUAUAUGUAUGUGUGUAUUAUGUAUUUCUAUUUUUAAUUUUUUUUUUUUUUGCUUUCAUUAUUAUAUUAAGAAAGUUUGCUUUUUGGGUGUGGGGAAAAGACGUAGAGAAUUCUGGAAUAUGCCAUCAUUGAUAUUUAAAUUCAGCGCCAAACUUUCUAAUUUUCAUUGCCUUUUAAUUAUAUUUUAGGUUUCUCUUUAAAUCCUACCAAAAUUAUUUGUUUUCAAUCCCGUGUAGCAGCAACUCGUUUGGUAUAUGUUCGAGAGUAAUCGUUUAAUAUAUGUAUGAUAAGUAAAGGUAAAAGUUUAAUUACUCAAAUAAAUACUUAACACUUUUAUACAAUUUUUAUUUAUUUAUUUCAAUAAUAAUGUAUGGAGUUAAAUAGUUUAAUUAAACGUUUUGGUUAUUGGUUAUAGAUGCAUAUAAUAUAACUAGUUGGUGAUAAAAAUUCAAAUUUUUUUAAACAUUUGAUCAUAAUAUGCUUAUCAAUGUAGUGGAAAAUGAAAAUAGAAAGAAGAAAAAAAAGACUACAAAUACAAGAAUUUGAAAGGGCAAAUUGAAUUGAUAAGGUCAAUAUGAAGGUGGGGAACAUAAAGAAUCACAUACAUGUUAAAGCCAGGCUGCCAUUUGCUCAUUGGCCUUCUCUUUCUUUUGUUGUCUUAUGGAAAUUGAAACUUGAAGGGAUCUUUCACUCUAUCACUCCCUGAUUCUGUGGCAAAUCUUUGUCAUUUUACUCUUUUAUUUAUCACUGCCCUAUCAUUUUUUGUUUACUUCAGUUACCUUAUGGUUAUGGGAGAGUAACACAAAUUAUUUCAUUUAUGACAUGAUGUUUGUGUGUCAGUGAUGUAUGAAUACGAUCUUUUUCAUGGGAAACGCUCUUAGUUUUGUUGGUUAUGUAGAGUUCUGAAAACAUCAAUAUGUCACUUUUUAGUCAUGUUAAGUACAACGGACCUUCAGAUAUCUCCACAAUGAUAUGAUAUUUGUCCAUUUUGAACAUACAUUCUCAUGAUUUUGCUUUAGCUCAACAAUCUAUAGUGGUUGGUCGUCCAUUCGACCACGAACAUGUACUUUGAACAUAACUAUGUCUCAUUCGACAACUAAGGAUUUUUUUUAGUGAUGAGACAUUAUUCUAACACCAAUUUAUUAGGGACAACAAACCUUCAAAUAUAUCUUCACAAACUUUAGGCAGGACUCUCAUGAUCACUUUGUUUUUUUGGAUUCACCCAAAAAAGUUUUGUACCAUUGGAGAUAGUUGUCAUCUCUUAUAAAUCAUGAUUAUUCUCUUAUUUAACUGACGUGAGACUUUGAUCGCAUUCCCACUUAAAAAGCUUUGAUUUUUAAAAAAUUACUUGAUGGUUUG
rnacentral:lncRNA from 1 species